GAGACUUGGGCUCAUCUCGUAUUUCUGGCUGCAUCGUGCCGCCACCAUUUGGGGACUUCUGCAGCUCUCUUACAGAGCCAUCUGCCCCCACGCUAGGCGGACAGUCUCCAGCUCUGGUAGCUGCUGGACUGAGGAGUCCUCCAGUUUGCAGUUUCCACCUGCAGUGGGGCUGAAUAUCCUGUUCCAGAAGCCCUUUGUCUACUUGGGCGCUUUAGUAUUCCUGUCUCCGAACCCAGCGGUGGGAGACAAGGGGACAUUCUCAGAGUCCCUUCUCAGGAGCACACUGGUCACUGACUGCAAGUAAACCUCAUGUGGAACUGUUUGGCCUGGUGUGGUCCUUCUGAAGCCGGGAGACAUUCAAGAUCAUAACAAUGAGUACUCAUGAAACCUGCAAUCCUGGAGCUCUCUGCAUCGCUUGUAUGCAGCUCAACAGGCCCCAGAGAUCUCCUCACUACAAUGAAGCUGGUAUGAGGCUUCUCCUUCACCAGAUGUGGAACUCUCAGCUCCUCCUGCACCCUGUCUGCCUUCGUGCUGCCAUGCUUCCUGCCAUGAUGGUAAUGGACUGAACCUCUGAACCUGUAAGCCAGCCCCAAUGAAAUGUUGUCCUUAUGAGAGCUGCCUUGGUCAUGGUGUCUGUUCACAGCAAUAGAACACUGACUGACUAGACAAUGGGAGUAAAAGGUUAUUCACAAA
rnacentral:lncRNA from 1 species